AACGAACGCUGGCGGCAUGCCUAACACAUGCAAGUCGAACGAUACCUUCGGGUCUAGUGGCGCACGGGUGCGUAACGCGUGGGAACCUGCCCUUAGGUUCGGAAUAACUCCCCGAAAGGGGUGCUAAUACCGGAUAAUGUCUUCGGACCAAAGAUUUAUCGCCUUUGGAUGGGCCCGCGUUGGAUUAGCUAGUUGGUAGGGUAAAAGCCUACCAAGGCGACGAUCCAUAGCUGGUCUGAGAGGAUGAUCAGCCACACUGGGACUGAGACACGGCCCAGACUCCUACGGGAGGCAGCAGUGGGGAAUAUUGGACAAUGGGGGAAAGCCUGAUCCAGCAAUGCCGCGUGAGUGAUGAAGGCCUUAGGGUUGUAAAGCUAUUUUACCCGGGAUGAUAAUGACAGUACCGGGAGAAUAAGCUCCGGCUAACUCCGUG
rnacentral:rRNA from 1 species